UCCUAGUUAACCUAGGCAGUCUUGCCAGAGUCCCCGCCAUUACGCGUUGGCAACUGACAAUAAGGGUUGCGCUCGUUGCUGGACUUAACCAAACACCUCACGGCACGAGCUGACGACAGCCAUGCAGCACCUAUAUAGGACGCCUUGCGGCACAGAGCAUCUCUGCUCCUUUUCCCUACAUUUCGAGCCUGGGUAAGGUUCUUCGCGUUGCAUCGAAUUAAACCACAUGCUCCACUGCUUGUGCGGGCCCCCGUCAAUUCUUUUGAGUUUCACCCUUGCGAGCGUACUCCCCAGGCGGCAUACUUAACGCGUUAGCUCCGAUACGGAAAGGGUUGAGCCCCCCCACAUCUAGUAUGCAUCGUUUAAGGCUAGGACUAC
rnacentral:misc_RNA from 1 species